UCCUUGUGCGGGAUCUGGGCCACCCGUGCGUACGUUUGAUCUGGGCCGUCCAUGCGUGCGGGAAUGGAUCUGGGCCUUCCGAUCGCGCGCACGCGGAUCGCCCACGUGGCCCGUCCCCUGGUCAGCGUUUCUUUGCCACGCGGCGCGUCCUGGUUGGUCGGGGCUGCUGACCGGGCCGCUGACGUGGCACAACUUUUCU
rnacentral:lncRNA from 1 species